AAUGCUUCUCGGCCUUCUGGCUAAGAUCCAGCGUGGUAUGUUCUUAACUAUCUAGUAUCUGACACAUGGUCUAUCUGAGGAAAAUACAUUAAGUGGACUUUUGGAGCAGGGAGAUGGAAUAGGAACUUGCUCUGUCCGGUCUGCACUUGGAACCGGUACCACAAUUCUUUUAGGAACAGUGUGCCCCAA